AUCCCCUGAGUGUGGGCAUGAGCCUUUGUCUGCCUGUAGAGAACCCAGAACUGUACCAGACACAAAUAUUAAUAGAUGCUUGGGGAGUACUUCUAAUUGAGGGUGAAUUUUAAAAUGAACUAAGCAAAAAAAAAAAAAAAAAAAAAAGAAGCAAGCAAACGGCGUUUAUUGAACACGUGCUACAUGCAGUUCCACAGAUGAUAAAGUAGGGAGAGGAACUGGGAGUGCUGCUGUAGGAAAUUUGGGAGUCAGUUUAUCUACCCAUCCAGCCGUCCAUUCAUGAGUGCCUACUGCAUGCCGAGCUCUGUACUGGGGGCUGGAGAUGCGGACCAGCAUCGGCUCUAGGAAGCCUCCGGCCAGGAGAGGGGAGAGACAAGGGACAGCUGCUGUUUAAUUAAAGAGGACUGAAGAUAGAACCAGAAAGCUCGAUUGUCUAGAGAGACUGCAGCCACACGACAAGAAAAAAAAAGAAGAAGGCGAGAGAAGAAAAUGCAUGCGUGAGCAGCCAGGCAAGAAGACGUGAGCUGUGCGUGGUUCGUCUCCUUUGGGCGACACCCAGCAAGGAGUCCUUGGCCACUUGCCCCUGCGUUUCUAGUCAUAAGGCCCUCACCAUCCCCUCUAAGAGAAAUGUCUCUAAUAAGGACCAUCAGUGUAACACAGGAAACUAUAUUCAGUAUCUUGCAAUAACCUAUAAUGGAAAAGAAUCGGAAAAGGAAUAUAUACAUGUAUAACUGAAUCGCUUUGCUGUAUACCUGAAAUUAACACAACGUUGUAAGUCAAUUAACU
rnacentral:lncRNA from 1 species